UACGAGGGGAGCAAGCGUUGUUCGGAUUUACUGGGCGUAAAGGGCGCGUAGGCGGUCGUGACAAGUCACUUGUGAAAUCUCCGGGCUUAACUCGGAACGGUCAAGUGAUACUGUCGGACUAGAGUACAGAAGGGGGCAACUGGAAUUCUCGGUGUAGCGGUGAAAUGCGCAGAUAGUCAGGAAGAACACCCGUGGCGAAGGCGGCUCUCUGGGACGGUACUGACGCUGAGACGCGAAAGCGUGGGGAGCGAACAGG
rnacentral:rRNA from 1 species